UACAGGGGGUGCGAGCGUUGUCCGGAAUCACUGGGCGUAAAGGGCGCGUAGGUGGUGGCUUAAGCGUGCGGUGAAAGCUCGGGGCUCAACCCCGAGUCGGCCGUGCGAACUGGGCUCACUGGAGCAUAGUAGAGGCAGGUGGAAUUCCGGGUGUAGCGGUGGAAUGCGUAGAGAUCCGGAAGAACACCGGUGGCGAAGGCGGCCUGCUGGGCUAUGGCUGACACUGAGGCGCGACAGCGUGGGGAGCAAACAGG
rnacentral:rRNA from 1 species